rnacentral:misc_RNA from 1 species
UAAUUUUUCUUGAAUCGCAUGGCGUUAUACUCUGUGUUCGGUCAUUAUACGCGACAGUUUACAACACAAAUAGUAGCAAAGCUUAAUACAAAUUGGUGAAUCAGUAUAAUUUGGUACACUUUAACGUAAUGGGCCGAAGAAAAAGUAAACGGAAGCCACCAAGUAAAAAGAAAGCUAUUCAACCGCUAGAUACACAAUUUAAUUGUCCGUUUUGCAAUCAUGAAAAAUCAUGCGAGGGAUAAGUCGAGGAACACAGCUAGAAUUACUUGCAGAGUCUGCUUAGAAGACUUUCAAACCACGAUCAAUUUACUUUCAGAACCUUUAGAUGUGUAUAAUGAUUGGAUUGAUGCAUGUGAAAGUGCAAACUAAAUUUUAUUAUCUUUGUAUCAGGUCAAUGCUAAUAGUAUUAUUUAUUUCUUCUAAAUGUAAAUUGUCAGCACUUUAGUAUAAAUGGAUAUCACAUCAUGUGCAAUGCAUAAGCAACAACUUAGUGCUAUACAUAUAUUCUAUGAAUCAAUGAAAAGACAUUUAGUUUCAUAAAUUUAAUAUUUCAUUAGUUUAAAGUAACAAAAUUUGAUAUACAUAUCCCAUAUGUAGUGUAUUCAAUAUUAUAUUGUAUUAUUUUUAAUCAUACAUGAUAUUUGUAUAAUCAUAUUUAUAUAUAUGAGCUUGUCGUACUUACUAAGUAAGGAUAUGAAUGUUUACAUUAAAAAUAACAAAAAUAUUAUAUGACUGCUAUAACCUACGGAUAUUUAUAUGAAAAGAAGACAUAAUAUUUUUACUGUAUGUUCAUAUUAUAAAAAUUAAGAAGUUGUAAGAUAAUGACAAUAUGAAUAAAAUAGUCUUUGCUAUAAC